GGAAGAGUGGCAGAGUGGCCGAUUGCACCUGUCUUGAAAACAGGAGACCUUCACGGGUCCGUGGGUUCGAAUCCUACCUCUUCCG
rnacentral:tRNA from 1 species